CUUGUACACACCGCCCGUCACACCAUGGGAGUGGAUUGCACCAGAAGUAGUUAGUCUAACCUUCGGGAGGACGAUUACCACGGUGUGGUUCAUGACUGGGGUGAAGUCGUAACAAGGUAGCCGUAGGGGAACCUGCGGCUGGAUCACCUCCU
rnacentral:rRNA from 1 species